GUGACGUAACAAAAUGUCACCCGUUCAUAGGGUAUAACAAUAGUCUGUUUAUUGUUUUUAAGACUAUGUUUCAUAUACGUAGGAAAAAAAGGGAUCAUCCAUUUGAUUACUCCGAAUACUGCAAACGAAGGCCAAAACGUUAAGUAGUGAUGUUCAGGGUCCAUUGAUGUCUGGAAAUGGAUGCCUACCAGUGAGGCAGCAUCACAAAUGUGACCAAAGAUUUUGUCCAACAAGCGUCUGGGAGUAGAGCUUGAAUAAACACAUAUUCUUAUACGCAUUGACAGCUUUAUGA